rnacentral:rRNA from 1 species
UCGAACGGCAGCGCGGGCUUCGGCCUGGCGGCGAGUGGCGAACGGGUGAGUAAUAUAUCGGAACGUACCCAAGAGUGGGGGAUAACGUAGCGAAAGUUACGCUAAUACCGCAUACGAUCUAAGGAUGAAAGCAGGGGACCGCAAGGCCUUGUGCUCCUGGAGCGGCCGAUAUCUGAUUAGCUAGUUGGUGAGGUAAAGGCUCACCAAGGCAACGAUCAGUAGCUGGUCUGAGAGGACGACCAGCCACACUGGAACUGAGACACGGUCCAGACUCCUACGGGAGGCAGCAGUGGGGAAUUUUGGACAAUGGGGGCAACCCUGAUCCAGCAAUGCCGCGUGAGUGAAGAAGGCCUUCGGGUUGUAAAGCUCUUUUGUCAGGGAAGAAAAGGGUCUGGCUAAUAUCCAGAUCUGCUGACGGUACCUGAAGAAUAAGCACCGGCUAACUACGUGCCAGCAGCCGCGGUAAUACGUAGGGUGCAAGCGUUAAUCGGAAUUACUGGGCGUAAAGCGUGCGCAGGCGGUUUCGUAAGUCUGUCGUGAAAUCCCCGGGCUUAACCUGGGAAUGGCGAUGGAGACUGCGAGGCUAGAGUUUGGCAGAGGGGGGUAGAAUUCCACGUGUAGCAGUGAAAUGCGUAGAGAUGUGGAGGAACACCGAUGGCGAAGGCAGCCCCCUGGGUCAAAACUGACGCUCAUGCACGAAAGCGUGGGGAGCAAACAGGAUUAGAUACCCUGGUAGUCCACGCCCUAAACGAUGUCUACUAGUUGUUGGGUCUUAAUUGACUUAGUAACGCGCUAACGCGUGAAGUAGAC